rnacentral:rRNA from 1 species
CUAACUCCCGUGCCAGCAGCCGCGGUAAUACGGAGGGUGCGAGCGUUAAUCGGUAAUUACUGGGACGUAAAAGCGCAUGCAGGUCGGUUUGUUAAGUCAGAUGUGAAAGCCCCGGGGCUCAACCUCGGAAUUGCAUUUGAAAACUGGCAGGCUAGAGUCUUGUAGAGGGGGUAGAAUUUCAGGUGUAGCGGUGAAAUGCGUAGAGAUCUGAAGGAAUACCAGUGGCGAAGGCGGCCCCCUGGACAAAGACUGACGCUCAGAUGCGAAAGCGUGGGGAGCAAACAGGAUUAGAUACCCUGGUAG